AAUCGACCCGCAAGAGGACGCUGUCUAGCGCUUCCGCAAUCCAUCCUUUGCAUCGCUAUAUUAAUCAUCCUGCUCAUUAGGCCACUGUGGGGCGUUUGGUUCUGGAACCUUUAAAGACUUCAAUUGGUGUACUUUCAGGAAACCGUCUACGUGUUGUAUUCAGUCGGUGCAUUCUCAGGGAAGGAAGGGUGCAUUUUGUUCGCCUCCCGUGUGAAUCUUCUGUGCAAUCGCUGUGUUGCCAGAGAUGGGACGCAUGCGCCGGGCGCUCGUGCACCGGGCUGUGGGGCUGUGAUUGACGGGCGAGGCGCGGGCACGGAGCCCGCGGGGACGUGCACGUGCACGUGCGCCCGUCCACUCGCUCCCCACUGCGUCACCCCCCCGCCCCGCCCCCCACCCGCAGCCCCCGGCGUUGCCCCGCCAACAAGAUGGCGGCGCUCAGCCCGCCGCCGCCGCCGCCACCGCCACCACCCGCAGCCGCAGCGGGGCUACUAGCCGGCGCCCAGCUCACCGUCACCGUGGAGCACGUCGUCAGCGGCACCGUGGUGGUGUCCACCAACUUCGGAGGGAGCAGCUUCACCGGCAUCCUGAUAGACAUGGCCAAGAAGUCAGGAUUAUGUGGGUUGCUACCAAACCAGUUUCCUGCAGAAUCAUGCACCAGUGAAGUCCUUGACGGGAAAGAACAGUCCAUCUGUCAAACUAAGUCUCAGCCCUGCAACUUGCAACAUACCGAGAUGUCAAACCGAGAACAAGUUUCACCUCUUCAGCCAUUACCAAAAACUGUGCCUUGUUUGCCACCUUAUUGUGAAGGUGUACCUCUGCCACAACCUUUGGUAUUGAGACAGACUUAUAAUCAGUGGGUUCCGCAGCCACCACCUCGGACAAUCAAACGCACAAAAAGACGCCUGUCAAGGAAUCGCGAUCCUGGUAAGCUUAUAAUGAGCACCAUUAGAUUGCGACCUAGGCAGGUGUUGUGCGAAAAAUGCAAAAACACACUAAAUCGGGAGGAGGAGGAGGAGGAGGAGGAGGAUGAUGAUGAUGAUGACAAAGAUAGACAUAAUAAUAAGAAUGACAAAAAAACUAGUGUGGAGGAAAAUGAAAAGAGGAAACCUGAGGUCACGUGCUGUGAAAAUAGGAAAUUAAAAAAGGAAAAGAAAGAUGAAAAAUGUUCUACUGAGAUGGUGCAUCGAAGCCCAGUGAUUAAAAUAUCAUAUAGCACUCCUCAAGGUAAAGGGAAGGUUGUGAAAAUUCCCUCACGGGUACAUGGCUCAGUUGAGCCUUUUUGUCCUAAACGGUUAAUGCAAAAUGAAAGUGUGGACCAGGACAAGAAUACAAAUGGUGAUGAGAUGGAGGUUCUUCCAGAAAAGUCAUUUUCUAGUCCAUCUGGAACCAUUCCAAAGUUAAAACUAACUAGGCCUUUGCAUUCCAUGGCAGACAUCCCACCACCUAGAAUUCGAUUAAAACCUCAUCGGCUCAGUAACGGGGACAAUGUUGCAAUUUAUAAGGCUGAGCUUGUAGAUAAUCUAAAUAGCGAUGUGCUACCUACAAGGAGAUCAGAUAGUAGUGCACUUCAUUCUGAAGAAUCUACAGGAAAAAGUUCAAUAGAGACAUCAGGGAGUUCUGGAGAGGAGGACCAAUGGAGGUACAAAAGAAGUCGUCGGAGCAAGGAUCAAGGUGAUCUGACUGUAUAUUUAAGUUAUAGGAAAAAAAGAGCAGAUUCAUCAAGUUUAUCGGUCUGUAGUAAUGAUAGUCUAGAUGAAUCAAAGUCUUCUAGUUCAGAAAUAACUUCACCAGAAAUAUGUGAUUUUGCACCUGGAGAUGAUGCAUCUGUGUCAUCUUCUUCCAAAGAAGAAAAGACUGUGCCACCCUUAACUGUGAGACUUCAUACCAAAACUGUCACAAAAUGUGUAACAACCGAAGGCAGGACUAUAUCUGUUGGUGAUAUUAUAUGGGGGAAAAUUCAUGGCUUUCCCUGGUGGCCUGCGUGCAUUCUUGGCAUUAGCGUUAACAAGAAGGAAAAUGGGACACCAUUGUGGCAGGAAGCCAGAGUGUCUUGGUUUGGAUCACCUACAACGUCGCUGCUUUCUGUGUCAAAGGUCUCUCCAUUUUUGGAGUAUUUUAAGUUGAGGUUUAACAGAAAGAAGAAAGGAGUGUACCGUAGGGCGAUUACAGAAGCUGCCAAGGCAGCUCAACACCUGACACCUGAAAUCCGAUCUCUUCUUUCGCAAUAUGACAGUUAACUGAGCCAAAGCAGAUGCUGCCUGACCUGCUGAGUGUUUCCAGCUUUUUCUGUUUUGAUUACCACUUAUUCACUCCAUUAUCCCUCCUUUUGCAUUUGUUUUGGAUAGCCGAAGAUCAGGAGAAAACAAAAAUCUAUAUCCUCUCUGAUUUAACUGGCUUUGAUCUUCAGCUAAUCAUUGGAGAAUUUUGUAUGGUAUUUACGAGGCUAUCGGAUCCUGGAGAAUUCCUGUUGACGGUUAUCUUGAAGGAGCAGAAGGACUGGGCUUGACCUGUGAUGUGCAAGAGUAAAGAAUGGAACAGAAGGAAGUCUGACUUUUCAUUUUGGACUGUUAUUUGAUUGGACCCAUAUUCUCAUGGGUGGACAGUGAAUAGUAUAAUUUGGAAUGUAGCUAUUUAAGUCACUACUCUUUGUCUAAGACUUGUCUCAAUCAAAAUAAAAUUACUGCAAAAAAAACAAGGGUGAGUAAUGGAAAAAGGCUAGUCUUUUUAUUUUGAUUCCUGUUUUUCUAAAUUAUGUAAUGCAGUAGUUUUAAUACAGCAAGUUUAAAAUGUCUCUAAAUAUUCAAUUUACAAUUGUCUUACAAAUGAUUGCAGGGCAUAUUGGAUAUUAUUUGUAACUUCAUUAGCAUUUAGUGGCAUAUGAUUAUCUCUGCACUUGCAAGGCUUGCAGAAGGCUUAUGUUGCCUCUUCCUCCAGUACAUUGGAUGUUUUCCAAAUGCACAAGUAGUGCUGAAGUAGCAAUGGAUUUAAAAUAGUUCCACAGUAUAAUCAGAAGAUGAAAUUGUAACAUUUGAGCUUUCAGUGGAGAAGUUAUGUAAUAAAAAGAUUAAGUUUCCUGGAGGACUAUAUUGAAUGGGAUUUAAUGUUGGCCCUUUGGCGUAGAGCAGUAAAAAGGAUGCCAUCAAUUGGUAUUUUAUAACUACAACGACCUGGUUUUGGUGUAAAAUGAUGGCUAGCUAAAAUGUUUUGUUUUGCACAACAAUGCUAAAGUAAUUGUAAACUAUGAUAUCAUUUAUGUUGAGGAUUUAUUUAAAGAAAAAGUAAAAUUUACUGAGAAUCAUGUCAUUUUAAGGAUGCUUGCAUAAAAAUACCGGACCUGUUGAAGGCGUUGAUGAAUUUAUGGUGUGCAUUGUUUUCGUCUUUUGAAUGAUCGAUUGGUUCCCAACAAAAGUUGUAUUUUGUAUGGUGGAGCUUACUACUUGCCAUUGAGUCUGAUUCGUUUUUAAAGGAUUUGGUAAAUUAUCCCAUUGUAACCACUGGAAAAGGAUUACCUGAUGCUUUCUUACCAUUGUAUUUUGAUGGUCUUCAGAGCUGCCUUUUUGUGCACUUUCAUAAUGUGCCAUUUAGUAAUCAUAUCUUCGUAACAUUGAGUCAUGGACAUCACUGCCAGUUCUAUGGUCUGCCCAAAUUUUGGUCAGUGGUAAUAUUCUUGUUGCCCAGUUGACCUUUUAUGGCUAUGACUAGGAGGAAUAAACAAUUUAUGCUCUAGCUGCAGUCCAUUUAAUCUUGCAGUAAUGCAUUUACUCUAAGUAACAAAUAAUUACUGAAUUGGCUUAGUCAGAAAUGCACUGCCCAGAAUGUAAAGAAUGGAAUUUUGAGAUCUCAAAGAUUGGCUUUCUGCAAAAUUAAAUUAACUCUAAGCACAAGUUGGUGUCAUCAGUAGGGAAAGGGAGAAAUGGAAUGGAGAAGUAGUUUAGAAGCAGCUGUUUUUUUGUGUAUAAUGUCCUUGGCAUGUGUGUGAGUAGGGGAUCGGCAAACAUUCUUUGCAGGAAUCGAAAAUGUUGUUCUUUGAUGGGACAUUCUAUGUGGUAUCCACUUCUAGACUCCCUCUGAUCCAUUUUUCUUAAAAGUAUGCAGAUGACUUGUUCCAAACAUAGGACUUUGGGGAUAAUUCAGUUGUCAAUCUCUUUAUACAUUUAGGAAACCUGAAGACACUUAUCUGAAAGAUUCCACCACAUUCCCCAUGCUCUAUUUAAAAAAAAAAAAAAAAAUACAUGAGGUAUGUAAAUAAAUGUGAGUGAUCAGUAUCAUGCAGAUGGAUUAAAAAUUUGGUUCAUAGAAAAAUGAUUUGUAUAUUUUGUUCUCACAACAUUUUUGUCCUAUUUAAUUUUAUUGUUGGUAAUACCUUCCUCAGAAGACUUUCUGAAGAUUUGUUGUUGCAUUAUUAAAUGCAGCAAAGUUAUUGAUUUCUUUCUUUAUCCAAAAGUAACCCCUGACAUUUGUAUUUCUGGUAGAAAUAUUUCUGUUAUACAAAAUGGUGGUUGUUUUAAAAACAAAAUAUGGUUGUUGCUACCUGGAUAAGUUUUAAUAUCUUGUGCUAGUAAUCUACUCAUGGGAAGUUUAUCAUUUAAAGCCUCUGUGUACAAAUAUGGUUUCUCUAAUAAAUUUUACCCAUUUUCUCUUCAUUUGGUGUAGACAAUAAGUGCCAAAGGCAUUUAUUUACCUACCAUUUUCCAGCCACUUUGCCUGUUGCAGCUUAAUUUCGGGGACACCUUAUUAUAGUGGUGGGUAAUCAGAAGACUUUUGUGAAUGUACAAAAGUGUUGAUACUGACAAAUUGUAGACUAUUAUGGUACCAAAGCUGUCAUUUAAAUGUUUUUCCUUAAGAAGACCAUUAAAGAAAACUUGUAUUUCCAGCAUUAAUAAUUUUGUUUAUUUGCAUACUGAAAGGCAGUUCGACUGUAUUAAAAUAUGCUGUGAUGAUCAAAGGUGUGUGUGUGUGUGUAUUAAGUUAUAGACAGGCAUCUAAACUUCUCCACUUGCAUUAGCAUGAGCAAACCAAAUGGAUUUAAGUAUGACGUAAACUAAUUCCCUGGAAUAAUAACAAGCUGUGACAUGUAUUGGACAGCAUAGAACCUCAACUUUAAAUACCCUGCACUGAAAAUCAUCAGUCUUAAAUUGGAUUUAAUUUCCUGGAUACUAAAUUGCAGUGAGCGAUAAGUUUACAAACCUUGUACAGGAAAACAUAUUUUGUGAUUGUAUCAGUUAAUUUUAAAAUGUGCGCUGCUGUACUUGUAAAUGCUAGUGAAUUGUAUUCGGCCUCUGUAUGACUUGCUUUCCAACAGAUUGAAUUUGUGUAUUUACUAGUGCACUUCCACUGUACAAACUGCUGAUUGGGAGUAGCAACAGCAAGGUGAAAAGCUAAUCAGCAAUAAAGUCUAUUGAAACAC